rnacentral:rRNA from 1 species
CUAGCAAUAGCAAGCUAAUCUCUUAAAUUUCGCCUCAGUUCAGAUUGGGGUCUGCAACCCGACCCCAUGAAGUCGGAAUUGCUAGUAAUCGCGGAUCAGCGUGCCGCGGUGAAUACGUUCUCGGGUCUUGUACACAAGGUCC